rnacentral:rRNA from 1 species
UACGUAGGGACCAAGCGUUGUCCGGAAUCAUUGGGUUUAAAGGGUCCGUAGGCGGUUUGGUAAGUCAGUGGUGAAAGCCCAUCGCUCAACGGUGGAACGGCCAUUGAUACUGCUAGACUUGAAUUAUUAGGAAGUAACUAGAAUAUGUAGUGUAGCGGUGAAAUGCUUAGAGAUUACAUGGAAUACCAAUUGCGAAGGCAGGUUACUACUAAUGGAUUGACGCUGAUGGACGAAAGCGUGGGUAGCGAACGGG